AGUGAACGCUGGCGGUAGGCCUAACACAUGCAAGUCGAACGGCAGCACAGUAAGAGCUUGCUCUUACGGGUGGCGAGUGGCGGACGGGUGAGGAAUACAUCGGAAUCUACUUUUUGGGGGGGGUUAAGGUGGGGAAACUAACGUUAAACCGGCUACGGACUUUGGGUGGAAAGAGGGGGAUUUUUGAACCUUGCGGGUUUGAAGGCGCGGAUGUCGGAUUAGUUAGUUGGCGGGUGAAGGGCCCACAAAGGGGACGAUCCGUAGCUGGUCUGGGAGGUUGAUCAGCCACACUGGAACUGAGACACGGUCCAGACUCCUACGGGAGGCAGCAGUGGGGAAUAUUGGACAAUGGGCGCAAGCCUGAUCCAGCCAUACCGCGUGGGUGAAGAAGGCCUUCGGGUUGUAAAGCCCUUUUGUUGGGAAAGAAAAGCAGCAGGUUAAUACCCCGCUGUUCUGACGGUACCCAAAGAAUAAGCACCGGCUAACUUCGUG
rnacentral:rRNA from 1 species